GUAUGAGAAAGACGUACAGAUUUCCAGUGACCCACUGAAUCCUCAAGCCGCCCACCCACCAGCAAAAUACCAUGGCAGGGGGCCCACUUGUCACACUGGGCCCCAGAUGGCAUCAACCGAGGCACCCCACUGAAAGCAGCACCCCACCCUCCUGGAAGCCCCCUUACCGGUCACGACGGGAUAAAGAAAUAAGUUUCAGAGAGCAAGUUGCUUUGUCUAACAUGGAGAGCUGACUCAAGACACCUGCCACACUGCCUCUAGCCCUCCCUCACCAAGCACCUGAGAAAGAGAUCCCGUCCGGUCAGUUUUACAAACAAGGAAACAGCUGUGGAAAAGUUCAACAUGACCGCAAGAACUGGUACAGAAGGGCAAAGA